CUCAGUAACGGCGAGUGAAGCGGCAACAGCUCAAAUUUGAAAUCUGGUCCCUCUCGGGGUCCGAGUUGUAAUUUGCAGAGGAUGCUUUCGGCGAGGCGCUGACCGAGUCCCCUGGAAUGGGGCGCCACAGAGGGUGAGAGCCCCGUAUGAUCAGAUGCCGAACCGGUGUAAAGCUCCUUCGACGAGUCGAGUAGUUUGGGAAUGCUGCUCUAAAUGGGAGGUAAAUUUCUUCUAAAGCUAAAUACCGGCCAGAGACCGAUAGCGCACAAGUAGAGUGAUCGAAAGAUGAAAAGCACUUUGAAAAGAGAGUUAAAAAGCACGUGAAAUUGUUGAAAGGGAAGCGCCCAUGACCAGACUUGAUCUCAGGGGAUCAUCCGCCGUUUUCGGCGGUGCACUCCCCUGUGCUUCAGGCCAGCAUCGGUUCUCUCCGGGGGAUAAAAGCGCCGGGAACGUGGCUCUCUUCGGGGAGUGUUAUAGCCCAGCGUACAAUGCUCC
rnacentral:rRNA from 1 species